rnacentral:lncRNA from 1 species
AAUUUUUAUUCAUUAUUUUAUAAUUAAUGUUAUAUAUUUAAGAUGUGUCGUCGUAUAACUAAUUGUAUUCAAAAGAUUUGGACUGAAUCGAGUAUAAGAUUAUUUUUGGUACAAAUAUACGAAGCCCUUUCAGAUACAUUGGUUAUUUAGAUAUUUUUAUGUUUCUACACAUCAGAAUCAAAAUCAUUCAGACCCGAAAGGACCCAACUCAAACCUCAUACAUAAAUUUAUAAUAUUCAAGUGGCGUCUAAUUUCAAAAUCCAAAAAAAUUAAUCCUGAAAGAAACAACUUGUACCUCA